GAGUUUGAUCGUGGCUCAGAUUGAACGCUGGCGGCAGGCCUAACACAUGCAAGUCGAGCGGUAGAGAGAAGCUUGCUUCUCUUGAGAGCGGCGGACGGGUGAGUAAUGCCUAGGAAUCUGCCUGGUAGUGGGGGAUAACGCUCGGGAAACGGACGCUAAUACCGCAUACGUCCUACGGGAGAAAGCAGGGGACCUUCGGGCCUUGCGCUAUCAGAUGAGCCUAGGUCGGAUUAGCUAGUUGGUGAGGUAAUGGCUCACCAAGGCGACGAUCCGUAACUGGUCUGAGAGGAUGAUCAGUCACACUGGAACUGAGACACGGUCCAGACUCCUACGGGAGGCAGCAGUGGGGAAUAUUGGACAAUGGGCGAAAGCCUGAUCCAGCCAUGCCGCGUGUGUGAAGAAGGUCUUCGGAUUGUAAAGCACGUUUAAGUUGGGAGUAAGGGCAGUAAAUUAAUACUUUGCUGUUUUAGACGUUACGACAGAAUAAGCACCGGCUAACUCUGUGCCAGCCGCCG
rnacentral:rRNA from 1 species